rnacentral:rRNA from 1 species
GACGAACGCUGGCGGCGUGCUUAACACAUGCAAGUCGAACGGUGAAAGCGGAGCUUGCUCCGCUGGAUCAGUGGCGAACGGGUGAGUAACACGUGGGCAACCUGCCCCUCACUUCGGGAUAACUCCGGGAAACCGGGGCCAAUACCGGAUAUGACCUCCUUGGGCAUCCUUGGAGGUGGAAAGUUUUUCGGUGAGGGAUGGGCCCGCGGCCUAUCAGCUUGUUGGUGAGGUAGUGGCUCACCAAGGCGACGACGGGUAGCCGGCCGGAGAGGGCGACCGACCACACGGGGACUGAGACACGGCCCAGACUCCUACGGGAGGCAGCAGUGGGGAAUAUUGCGCAAUGGGCGAAAGCCUGACGCAGCAAUGCCGCGGGCGGGAUGACGGCCUUCGGGUUGUAAACCGCUUUCAGCAGGGAAGAAGCCGCAAGGUGACGGUACCUGCAGAAGAAGCACCGGCUAACUACGUGCCAGCCGCCGCGGUAA